rnacentral:rRNA from 1 species
UACGGGGGGGGCAAGCGUUGUUCGGAAUUACUGGGCGUAAAGGGCUCGUAGGCGGCCAACUAAGUCAGACGUGAAAUCCCUCGGCUUAACCGGGGGAACUGCGUCUGAUACUGGAUGGCUUGAGUUUGGGAGAGGGAUGGCGGAAUUCCAGGUGUAGCGGUGAAAUGCGUAGAUAUCUGGAGGAACACCGGUGGCGAAGGCGGCGAUCCUGG